UAGUGGUUGGCGCUGCCUUUGGAGGCGAAGGUCGAGGUUUGAGCCUCACCUUCGAUAACAAUUGAGCAACUUUACUCCCGUAAAAUUAUCCAGUUCUGUAAAUGGGUAAAUAAAAUUGUAAUUCGAUUUGGCGAAAGCCAAAGGCAUCAGCUAAAACGAAUAAAUCAAAUAUAAACGUGGUGGUACGACGAAUACAAACAGACUCAGUGUGGAUGGAAGAAGGCGCGAGGCCCACUCAGCUGUCCGUAGUACCGCCGUAAACGUUGCAGGAGAUUAUGCUUUCGGUACGUGUCUACGUUUCUCUUUUUUGAUGGAGUUGGCAGAACUGGCGCUACUGAGCACACGCGCAUACGCGCGCGUACGUACCUAUGAUGUAUGUACGUUCGUUCGUUCAUAUACAGACCUCCAUAGGUUCAUAUACACGUAGGGUACCUCACGGUUUCCUGGGAUCUGAGGUUUUUUUAAAAAAAAAAAAAAUAAAUG